rnacentral:tRNA from 1 species
UUAAUACCCAUAUAUGGCAGAAUAUACUAUUGCAUAAGAAUUAGAAUCUUAACAACCUAUU